CUCCCUCCUCAUUUCUUUCAUUCUGUCAAGAACACAAGAACCUAUUGCUCGAGCUUGCAAACAUCUCCCCCUCUCUCACUCUAUGAAUGAACCCUAGGUUGUUGAAACACCGUUGAACUCCUAUCCUGUAGUCUCUUCUAUCUCUCAAUCUUUCAGAUCAACAAACCCUUCCUUUGCUAUAACCAUCAUCGAUUGUAGUCCCUGCACAUCUUCUAUUUGAACUUCAGAUGUCGUUCUCAAGAUAAGUCGAGACAUCCCAAUGAAUGUUAACAUCAGAAACGUGACCAAAGAGAGCACUAUUCCGAUCAAUAGAGGUCCUCUUGAAAGGGAGCCAAAAGACCCAAUCCGUUGUCGUUCAGUCGUAUUUGCCUUUCUGUGAAGAGAUCUUUCCAUUAACGCCAUUAUUAGUUAAUCAAUCCACUAUGUUUUAGCAUUUGAGUCAGCCUCUCCACUUUAACAUCGAUUUAAUCCUUGAAGGCUAUAGUAGAGCUUAUGCAAGAUGAGGACCAUUGGAGCCCAUAUUUUGAUUUUAUGAAGUUAUUAUUCUCAAGUGAAUUGGGUUUAUCAAAAUAGUGCGUGUUCUCCAUUUCUGAGCUUAGCAAAAUAGCUCGGAUUUUGCUUCAUGGAUUAGUUUCACAUCAUGCUCUACAGGGUGGAUAAUCUAUCCUUUGGACAUGAAUUUUUUUCCAUCAGAUGUGGUUACUUCAGACAUAUCCAUUUACAUGUUCCUUAUCCUUAUUUUGAAGACAUGGAAGGAAUUUUUGGGCACUAUACUCACAAAUCGGACCAACCUAGGGAGUGGUAAAAGAGAGAGGGAAAGAAAACUCGAAUCGUUUGAUCAGUGCAGAGUGAAGAAGUCCUUUGUUAAAUUAUUUGUUCUUAUCUGUGAAGUUACUGCUUAUGAUCGUGAUAAACAAAAGAUUCUGCCAUUCUAGGUUAAACAUGCAAUGAGUGACUCUCAAAGCAUGGCUGAAGACAAUGGAUAAUUCUUUUAUAUUUAAAAUUUCUCUCUUUUUUUAAGGUCAUAUAGACUUCAAUAUGUAUUAAGGAAAAUUUGACAUUUGUAAUACAUUUUAAACAAUGAUGUAUUCAAAUUAUACAUGGCA